rnacentral:rRNA from 1 species
AAAAAAGGUAAGCUACUAAGAGCGAAUGGUGGAUGCCUUGACUGGUAAAGGCGAUGAAGGACGUACUAGACUGCGAUAAGCUACGGGGAGCUGUCAAGAAGCUUUGAUCCGUAGAUUUCCGAAUGGGGCAACCCAAUGUAUAGAGAUAUACAUUACCUAUAUAGGAGCGAACGAGGGGAAUUGAAACAUCUUAGUACCCUCAGGAAAAGAAAUCAAUAGAGAUUGCGUCAGUAGCGGCGAGCGAAAGCGCAAGAGGGCAAACCCAGUGCUUGCACUGGGGGUUGUAGGACUGCAAUGUGCAAGAGGUGAGUUUAGCAGAACAUUCUGGAAAGUAUAGCCAUAGAGGGUGAUAGUCCCGUAUGCGAAAAACAAACCUUAGCUAGCAGUAUCCUGAGUAGGGCGGGACACGAGAAAUCCUGUCUGAAGCUGGGUCGACCACGAUCCAACCCUAAAUACUAAUACCAGAUCGAUAGUGCACAAGUACCGUGAGGGAAAGGUGAAAAGAACUGAGGUGAUCAGAGUGAAAUAGAACCUGAAACCAUUUGCUUACAAUCAUUCAGAGCACUAUGUAGCAAUACAGUGUGAUGGACUGCCUUUUGCAUAAUGAGCCUGCGAGUUGUGGUGUCUGGCAAGGUUAAGCAAACGCGAAGCCGUAGCGAAAGCGAGUCUGAAUAGGGCGCUUAGUCAGAUGCUGCAGACCCGAAACGAAGUGAUCUAUCCAUGAGCAAGUUGAAGCUAGUGUAAGAACUAGUGGAGGACUGAACCCAUAGGCGUUGAAAAGCCCCGGGAUGACUUGUGGAUAGGGGUGAAAGGCCAAUCAAACUUCGUGAUAGCUGGUUCUCUCCGAAAUAUAUUUAGGUAUAGCGUUGUGUCGUAAUAUAAGGGGGUAGAGCACUGAAUGGGCUAGGGCAUACACCAAUGUACCAAACCCUAUCAAACUCCGAAUACCUUAUAUGUAAUCACAGCAGUCAGGCGGCGAGUGAUAAAAUCCGUCGUCAAGAGGGAAACAACCCAGACUACCAGCUAAGGUCCCUAAAUCUUACUUAAGUGGAAAACGAUGUGAAGUUACUUAAACAACCAGGAGGUUGGCUUAGAAGCAGCCAUCCUUUAAAGAAAGCGUAAUAGCUCACUGGUCUAGUGAUUUUGCGCGGAAAAUAUAACGGGGCUAAAGUAAGUACCGAAGCUGUAGACUUGAUUUUAUCAAGUGGUAGGAGAGCGUUCUAUUUGCGUCGAAGGUAUACCGGUAAGGAGUGCUGGAGCGAAUAGAAGUGAGCAUGCAGGCAUGAGUAGCGAUAAUUAAUGUGAGAAUCAUUAACGCCGUAAACCCAAGGUUUCCUACGCGAUGCUCGUCAUCGUAGGGUUAGUCGGGUCCUAAGUCGAGUCCGAAAGGGGUAGACGAUGGCAAAUUGGUUAAUAUUCCAAUACCAACAUUAGUGUGCGAUGGAAGGACGCUUAGGGCUAAGGGGGCUAGCGGAUGGAAGUGCUAGUCUAAGGUCGUAGGAGGUUAUACAGGCAAAUCCGUAUAACAAUACUCCGAGAACUGAAAGGCUUUUUGAAGUCUUCGGAUGGAUAGAAGAACCCCUGAUGCCAUCGAGCCAAGAAAAGUUUCUAAGUUUAGCUAAUGUUGCCCGUACCGUAAACCGACACAGGUGGGUGGGAUGAGUAUUCUAAGGCGCGUGGAAGAACUCUCUUUAAGGAACUCUGCAAAAUAGCACCGUAUCUUCGGUAUAAGGUGUGGUUCGCUUCGUAUUAGGAUUUACUCCGAAAGCGAAGAAACUUACAACAAAGAGUCCCUCCCGACUGUUUACCAAAAACACAGCACUCUGCUAACUCGUAAGAGGAUGUAUAGGGUGUGACGCCUGCCCGGUGCUCGAAGGUUAAUUGAUGGGGUUAGCAUUAGCGAAGCUCUUGAUCGAAGCCCGAGUAAACGGCGGCCGUAACUAUAACGGUCCUAAGGUAGCGAAAUUCCUUGUCGGUUAAAUACCGACCUGCAUGAAUGGCGUAACGAGAUGGGAGCUGUCUCAAAGAGGGAUCCAGUGAAAUUGUAGUGGAGGUGAAAAUUCCUCCUACCCGCGGCAAGACGGAGAGACCCCGUGGACCUUUACUAUAACUUGACACUGCUAUUUGGAUAAGAAUGUGCAGGAUAGGUGGGAGGCUUUGAGUAUAUGACGCCAGUUGUAUAUGAGCCAUUGUUGAGAUACCACUCUUUCUUAUUUGGGUAGCUAACCAGCUUGAGUUAUCCUCAAGUGGGACAAUGUCUGGUGGGUAGUUUGACUGGGGCGGUCGCCUCCCAAAUAAUAACGGAGGCUUACAAAGGUUGGCUCAGAACGGUUGGAAAUCGUUCGUAGAGUAUAAAGGUAUAAGCCAGCUUAACUGCAAGACAUACAAGUCAAGCAGAGACGAAAGUCGGUCUUAGUGAUCCGGUGGUUCUGUGUGGAAGGGCCAUCGCUCAAAGGAUAAAAGGUACCCCGGGGAUAACAGGCUGAUCUCCCCCAAGAGCUCACAUCGACGGGGAGGUUUGGCACCUCGAUGUCGGCUCAUCGCAUCCUGGGGCUGGAGCAGGUCCCAAGGGUAUGGCUGUUCGCCAUUUAAAGCGGUACGCGAGCUGGGUUCAGAACGUCGUGAGACAGUUCGGUCCCUAUCUGCCGUGGGCGUAAGAAGAUUGAAGAGAUUUGACCCUAGUACGAGAGGACCGGGUUGAACAAACCACUGGUGUAGCUGUUGUUCUGCCAAGAGCAUCGCAGCGUAGCUAAGUUUGGAAAGGAUAAACGCUGAAAGCAUCUAAGCGUGAAGCCAACUCUAAGAUGAAUCUUCUCUAAGCUCUCUAGAAGACUACUAGUUUGAUAGGCUGGGUGUGUAAUGGAUGAAAGUCCUUUAGCUGACCAGUACUAAUAGAGCGUUUGGCUUAUCUUUAAUAAAGCAU